rnacentral:tRNA from 4 species
GCUGGGGUAGCUCAGUUGGUAGAGCACUUCCUUGGUAAGGAAGAGGUCGUCGGUUCAAUCCCGAUCCCCAGCUCCA